CCUACGGGCGGCUGCAGUGGGGAAUAUUGCACAAUGGGGGAAACCCUGAUGCAGCGACGCCGCGUGAGUGAAGACGUAUCUCGGUAUGUAAAGCUCUAUCAGCAGGGAAGAAAAUGACGGUACCUGAUUAAGAAGCCCCGGCUAACUACGUGCCAGCAGCCGCGGUAAUACGUAGGGGGCCAGCGUUAUCCGGAUUUACUGGGUGUAAAGGGGGCGUAGACGGGAGCACAAGUCUGGAGUGAAAUUCCGGGGCUUAACCCCGGAACUGCAUUGGAAACUGGGCAGCUAGAGUGCAGGAGAGGUAAGUGGAAUUCGUAGUGUAGCGGUGAAAUGCGUAGAUAUUAGGAGGAACACCAGUGGCGAAGGCGGCUUACUGAACUGUAACUGACGUUGAGGCUCGAAGGCGUGGGGAGCAAACAGGAUUAGAUACCCGAGUAGUC
rnacentral:rRNA from 1 species